GUGGGGGGUGGGGGGGGGGGCAAUCUUUGUUACUCCCAAAUACUAUUUUCCUCUUUGUUACUGUAGUUAGUAUUAUUGCAGUGAGUAUUGUUCCUUGCCAUAUGUCUUCCACAUAAACCUGGCAAGCUAAGCUAUACAGUUGUCUACACAAACCAACAGAGGGCAGCCAAGACAACACUGAUAAACCAGGACACACCCCCAUCCAAGCAGGCCAAUGUACUCUCUCAUGUGGGUGCAUUGCACCCCUUCAGCAAGACUUACUGGAAUUGACGCUGUGUGGCUUUGUGUGUAAAUAGACUCUCUCAUGUGGGUGAGCGGACUUACUGGCAUUGAAUCUGUGCUUGUAGGUUCUACGUUUAGGUUCUCCUUUUUUGUUCAGUUCAUAGAGCACUGAUUUCUCGGGCAGUACCUUAUUGUCAAGAGAUAAUCCAUAUAUCUGUAAUAUAACUUUUAAUUUUAGAUAUGAAUUUCCUUUUGUAUUUUCCAGGCAUGCUCAAUUUUCCAGGCACACCUACUCAAACCCUUGAUUGAGCAGGUGUGUCCAAACCUUUGACUGGUACUGUAUAGAUAUUACAAAUGCUAAUAUACAUAAAUCACAGGGUAAAGAGAGAAAUAUUCAGUGUUAAGAUUAAUCAUGCUUUUUAGUGGACUAUUAAUUGUACCCUGCUGCCAGUCAAAAGGCUUUUGAUCUAAAUGUGUUUGAAAUUAGAAUGUGUGAUUUAUUUACCCUUUGAGCUUUAUUUAAAAAUACAUUUGGUUUACAUAUCUGUAUUCUGAUAAUGGCCUCUUCUUUUGUGUACCAAAAGGAAAAAAGAAAUGUUCCUGCGUUCGAGGAGACUGCAUUCACGGUAAAUGUUGCAUAUGUCGACUCAAUCGGAAAUGACCUUAAAAUUUAAAUCGUGCUAUUCAACGGACCUUCCAUGCUACAGAUUGAAUCUAGGCCUUAGUCUCCACAGUUGUCCAAAAUAAGUUGAAUUGAGUCUUGCUUGUGUCAUUGCUGACAGCACAAAACACUGAAUUGAGGAAAUUUAUACACUUGUGUAACAAUAAGUAAAUAUUUGACAUUGAGUUGUAAAAUGUUUACUCUUGUGAGUGAUAACCUCACUGGCACUCUGUGUAAUGACAACCAGUAAUACAUGUCCUCUCAGAUUAAGAAUAGUCUCUUUCUGCUGCAUUCUCAUAACAUUGUCAAAUCUGUCUCUAAACUCUGAUAUGACUUAUCCAUACACACUGAAAACCCAUAAACUAGCCGGUCUGCAGGUAUUUAAAAAAAAAUACAUGGUGGGAGUCAUGGAGGAGUCACACAAAGACACAGCGAUUGGAACCACAAAUCUCAAAUUUAGACUCAUCAGACCAAAGGAGAGAUUUCCACCGGUCUACUGUCCAUUGAUUGUAUUUUUUGGCCCAAGCAAGUAUUUUCUUCUUAUUGGUGUCCUUUAGCAGUGGUUUCUUUGCAGCAAUUCGACCAUGAAGGCCUAAUUCACGCAGUCUCCUCUGAACAGUUGAUGUUGAGCUGUGUCUGUUACUUGAACUCUGUGAAGCAUUUACUUGACCUGCAAUUUCUGAGGCUGGUAACUCUAACACGGAAUCCAAACCGGCUGCGAGCGUGCGCCAUCGUGCGCUAUCGUGCAUACAUUUAUUUUGUCCCCCUACACCAAACGCGAUCACGACACGCAGGUUAAAAUAUCAAAACAAACUCUGAACCAAUUACAUUAAUUUGGGGACAGGUCGAAAAGCAUUAAACAUGUAUGGCAAUUUAGCUAAGUUAGCUUGCACUUGCUUGCUAAUUUGUCCUAUUUAGCUAGCUUGCUGUUGUUAUUUUACCUGAAAUGCACAAGGUCCUCUACUCCGACAAUUAAUCUACACAUAAAACGGCCAACCAAAUCGUUUCUAGUCAUCUCUCCUCCUUUCAGGCUUUUUCAUCUUUGAACUUAUAUGGUGAUUGGCAUCUACACUUUCAUAGUAUUACCACGACAACCGGCAAAACAUUUCAUCUUUCUAUCACCCAUGUAGGUAUAACCAGUGAGGAGAUGGCACGUGGGUACCUGUUUCUAUAAACCAAUGAGGAGAUGGGAGAGGCAGGACUUGCAGUGUGAUCUGCGUCAGAAAUAGAAAGGAGUUCUAUUUUAGCCCUUGGCAUUGCAGAUUCUCGUUGGAGCGCGCGAGCAGUGUGGAUGCAAUAAUUGAAUAACAUGGAUUUCAAAAUUUAUUUUGCGACGCUCGCACACGCGACCUGUCCGGUUUGGUCAGCAUGUAAUGAACUUAUCCUCUGCAGCAGAGGUAACUCUGGGUCUUCCUUUCCUGUGGUGGUCCUCAUGAGAGCUAGUUUCAUCAUAGCGCUUGAUGGUUUUUGAGAAUGCACUUGAAGAAACUUUCAAGUUCUUGAAAUGUUCCACAUUGACUGACCUUCAUGCCUUAAAGUAAUGAUGAACUGUCAUUUGUCUUUGCUUAUUUGAGCUGUUCUUGCUAUAAUUUGGACUUGGUAUUUUACCAAAUAGGGCUAUCUUCUGUAUACCACCCAUACCUUGUCACAAAACAACUGAUUGUCUCAAACGCGUUAAGAAGGAAAGAAAUUCCACAAAUGAACUUUGAACAAGACACACAUGUUAAUUUAAAUGCAUUCCAGGUGACAACCUCAUGAAGCUGGUUGAGAGAAUGCCAAGAGUGUGCAAAGCUGUCAUCAAGGCAAAGGGUGGCUACUUUGAAGAAUCUCAAAUAUAAAAUAUAUUUUGAUUUAGUUAAUACUUUUUUGGUUACUACCUGAUUCCAUAUGUGUUACUUCAUAGUUUUGAUGUCUUUAAUAUUAUUCUACAAUGUAGAAAAUAGUAAAAAUAAAGAAAAACCCUUGAAUGAGUAGGUGUUUCCAAACUGAGCUGGCCGCCCGACCAAACUGAGCAAUCGGUUGAGAAGAGCCUUGGUCAGGAGGUAACCAAGAACCCGAUGAGUUCCUCUGUGGAGAUCAGAGAACUUUCCAGAAGGACAGCCAUCUCCGCAGCCCCACCAAUCAGGCCUUCAUGGUAGAGUAACCAGACGGAAGCCACUCAGUAAAAGGCACAUGACAGCCCGCUUUGAGUUUGCCAAAAAGCACCUUAAGACCUUAAGCAUCAUGCUGUGGGGAUGUUUUUCAGCGGCAGGGACUGAGACUAGCCAGGAUCGAGGCAAAGAUGAAUGGAGCAAAGUACAGAGAGAUCCUUGAUGAAAACCUGCUCGAGGAUUAUUAGUUGUACCCUGCCACCAGUCAAAAGGCCAUUUGAUCUAACCAUUUCUGAGGUCAGUGUGUGAUUUUUAUUUACACUGAACGUUAUUUUAAAACAAAUUAUGUUUACAUAUCUGCAUUCUUAUAAUGGUCUCUUCCUUUGUGUUUUCACAAACAAACAGACAUGAUACAAGGUAAACACUAUUUCCAUCAACUACACACUCAGAGAAGGAUAAAGUACAACCCCUUGGUAAAUAGAAGAGCUGAGCAACACUGAAUACAUAGUCAAAUAAAAUAUAUACCUAACAUAUACAGUGUUAUACAUAAUCUGGCAAUAUGUGACUCUAAAUGACAUUGAUAGUGUGGACAUUUUUACCAAAUGAAUCAACUGUAAGGCCAAACUGGAACAGCGCUGCAAUUUAUUUUGACUUCUAGGGCUAGAUUCAAUCCGUAGCGUGGAAGGCAAUGUUCCUGCGACUGCGGAGAGACUGCGUUCACGGUAAACGCUGCAUAUGUCGACUCAAAUGGAAAUUACCUUUAAAUUACCUUUAAAUUGAAUCUAGGCCUUAGUCUCCACAGUUGACCAAAAUAAGUUGAGUUGAGUCUUGCUUGUGUCAUUGCUGACAGCCCACAACACUGAAUUGAGCAAAUUGAUACAUUUGUGUAACAAUAAGUAAAUACUUGACAUUGAGUUGUAAAAUGUUUACUCUUGUGAGUGGUAACCUCACUGGCACUCUGUGUAAUGACAACCAGUAAUACAUGUCCUCUCAGAUUAAGAAUAGUCUCUUUCUGCUGCAUUCUCAUAACAUUGUCAAAUCUGUCUCUAAACUCUGAUAUGACUUAUCCAUACACACUGAAUAUACAUACACUAUCCUUCAGAAAUGUAUUAGAAAUAUUCCAAAAUACAAUUAGUGUCCAUAAUUUGGUGUUUAUUUAUGUAUAUUAAAUAUACAAUUAAACAGGCAAAAUAAUGAAUGAUUUAAACUAUCUGUUCUGCAGGUAUUUAAAAAAGUAAGUCAUUAGAUGUAUAGUUUUUCAAAAUGUGUGUCAUAAACAUUGAUGAAUAAACAGCAUUAUGAUAUAUCCCACAGGGCACAGGUGUCAAUUCAACGUCUAUUCCACAUUGGUUCAACGCCAUUUCAUUGAAACGACGUGGAAACAACGUUGAUUCAACCAGUGUGUCCCCAGUGGGAUGUAUCUCUUUGGAAAGUGCCUGUCACUGGCACCUAUUGUAUGUGGUCAAGGUUAGGAUGAUUUUGGGGGCUGGGGUUGAGAGAAGCGGUGGCUGUGGUGCUAGCCGGUGUUGAGGUGUCAGAUCAGUUGAUACGGUUGCCCAGGAUGAUGGCGUAGACAAUGUACAGGACGAUGACGGUGAUGCCGAUACCCAGGGCGGUGUGGUUCAGUAUCCGCGCUAGACGAGAAUUCUUCUCAGCAAUCUGCUGGUGACCCUGGUUGUUGGCGUCUCUAGUCUGAGAGCAGGGAGAGAGGGAGGGAGGGAGGGA
rnacentral:lncRNA from 1 species